AGAAGAUAGAAGAUAGAAGAAUAAUAAGUGCAUCGAUAUAAGCUCUUAGUUUCAGGUUAGGAGCCUGCUAGGACGGGUCUCGUUCUCUCUUCUUGAGGCACCCGGACGAGAGCGGCGGCGGUGGUGGCGGCGGCGGCGGACGACGGGUGUUCGCAGACCGGUCGCGACUAACAGUGAAAUACAACACGACACGCAACGUGGAAGGAAAGAGAGAGAGAGUAUAAGAGACAGAUUAGUUAACUAACUGAUUAAUGAAAGAAAGGGAAGGGGUAAAAAGAAGAAGAGGAACAAUCGAGGACUCCAACCAAGGAUUUACCUUUCAUCUUCUAAGACACCUAGAAGGAUCGUCAAGGAACAGGAUCAAAUCGACCGUUCGAUCAACCAACGAUCGAGGACCCAUCCUGUUAAUUUCGAUCAACCCAAUAACCUAUCUCAGUUCUUUUCUUCUUUAACGAAGUGUUGUCAGAUGGAACUACGGAUUACGUGACGUAUCGGUGUGUUGGUGUUUUUCGAUAAAUAAUAUCUAAAAGAAAUUUUUAGUGCUCCCGAGAGUGUAUCCGAUUUUUUUGUUCAUCCAAGGUGUUGAUAAUAAUUAAUCGAGGAUUGAUCUUAAGGAUCGAUCAUUCAAGAUUGUUGUCAUCAUUUUUGUUAUCAUCGUACGUAAUCGUCAAACAACCGAUUGUCUCUCUCGCACACGUAGCAAUUAGAUGUCCGAUGAGAACGUUCGAUACCUCUUGCCCCGUGUUCUCUGGUCUGGUCUCGUGGUGUCAACGAAAUCGUUUACAACGAAAAUUCGUCGUGUGUCAGAGUAAAUAGUUAAACGCGAGUGAGAGUUCACGUAAGAGGGUCCAUUCGUGUGAUGCGGUGUCUACGGGAGGAUAGUUGUUGUAAAAGUUACGUGGUAGAAGAGGACAGUGGUCAGUUGAUUUUAAUCAACAUCGAUAUCAAAUACAAUAGGAUAUAUCUAGCACAUAAUUGUAUCCUUCGGAAUCCCUAACGGCUUCCACUGCGAUCUAAUCUGAACGUGAACAAGGAAUCAUCAACAAUAAUAUUAUUUCUAAUUAUUGUCGGAUUGUGAAAAAUAAUUUUGGCGCGACCACGGUGGUUGGUAAAGAUGAGGAGGACGAGAAUAUUUACGGAAUCGUUACUCUGACGCGAAGCUGAUCUUUGAAAAAGAAAAAUAAAAAGAUAGAAAAGGCUAGAGAAAGUCAAAUAACAGAUGACUUGCCACCCACCGUGGGACAGGAAACAUUCGAGGAAUCGCGCCGACAGUGAAAGGAACUACGACAUCAGUAUCAUCAUCCUCGUGGCAGAUUGACUUGCAAAAUAUGAAUUAGAUCGGUCAUUAUUAUCGUGAUAAUAAUAAUAAUAAUAAUUAAUAUUAUUUAUUAUCUGUGGACGUGUGUGAAUGCGCGCUGAGCUGAGCUGAGCUUUGUUAUAUCUGAUAUUAGGGAAAAAAGAUAAAUAAAGCUAGAAGUGUAA
rnacentral:lncRNA from 1 species